rnacentral:lncRNA from 1 species
GCUAGCUAACAUUAGCCAAGCUAACAUUAGCCAACAAUCGUCAAGGAACAAACACCUUUCAUGAAUGUGUUAUAACGUUGCAAGGCAAAUGCCAACAACGGUGGGUUAUUUUGCCUUGUAAGACGAGCAGAAGGGAGCGGCAUCAGAUGAAAGAGGGUGGUGGAAGUGGAACUUGACCCAUCCAACUGAGUCACCAUUUUCCUGCACAUAAUGGGCUUGAUGGCCUUGCUGUAUGCAUGAAUGGUUUCAUGUGGCCUGAUGGGAGGACACUGUGGAUAGUACUUUCAUCAGGAUACCAGGAAAGCCAUCACAUGCCCCC